UGUUGAUGUAUUGUGCCGUAUCGUUUC
rnacentral:sRNA from 1 species